rnacentral:rRNA from 1 species
UACGAAGGGGGCUAGCGUUGCUCGGAAUCACUGGGCGUAAAGAGCGUGUAGGCGGCUUGGUAAGUCCGCUGUGAAAGUCCAGGGCUCAACCCUGGAAUGCCGGUGGAAACUGUCAAGCUUGAGUCCGGAAGAGGCGAGUGGAAUUCCUGGUGUAGCGGUGAAAUGCGCAGAUAUCAGGAGGAACACCAAUGGCGAAGGCAGCUCGCUGGGACGGUACUGACGCCGAGACGCGAAAGCGUGGGGAGCAAACAGG